rnacentral:rRNA from 1 species
GCUUACGGCCAUACCAUUGUGAAUGCACCUGAUCUCAGAAGCUAAACACCCUUGGGCUCGAUCAGUACUUGGAUGGGAGACCGCCUGGAAACCCCGACUGCUGUAAGCU